UACGUAGGGCGCAAGCGUUAUCCGGAAUUAUUGGGCGUAAAGAGCUCGUAGGCGGUUUGUCGCGUCUGCCGCGAAAGUCCGGGGCUCAACUCCGGAUCUGCGGUGGGUACGGGCAGACUAGAGUGAUGUAGGGGAGACUGGAAUUCCUGGUGUAGCGGUGAAAUGCGCAGAUAUCAGGAGGAACACCAAUAGCGAAGGCAGAUCUCUGGGCCGUAACUGACGCUGAGGAGCGAAAGCAUGGGGAGCGAACAGG
rnacentral:rRNA from 1 species